rnacentral:lncRNA from 1 species
UUCGAAGGGAUCUCUUUAGCACUGUUGCCUUCCCCGAUUUAUAGUAGGAGGUGGUAUGGCCCCGCCGUCGGUGAUGUAGACAACUGGAGAGUUGUCAAAUCGCCGGAGGUUGUCAUGUCGUUGACAAAGCUGACAGGUCCUAGGAAUUAAUUUGCGUCCUUGGCAGGACAGCGCCCCAGGCUUCCUGGCAGGACAAUGCCCCCUGGCGUUCGUACGGCAUUUGCUUGAUAGGACUGCAGCCCAUGC